ACGCGAAUUGCUUCCACCAGAGCAGUAUAAUUAUUCAAUGGUUCUCCCAUUCCCAUGAAAACAACAUUCCGUAUUUGGGAUAAAUAUGAUGCAUGGACUAACUGUUCAACAAUUUCUCCUGAUGAUAGAUUGUUUUUGAAUCCCAUGCUUCCAGUAGCACAAAACUUGCAACCCAUUUUACAACCAACCUGAGAUGAUAUGCACAGAGUUGACCUUAGGCCACCAGGACGGGGUUUUCCACCAUAUUUUCCCAAUCGAGUGUCAUACCUCAUAAUAACAGCCUCCACAAAAGCUCCAUUCUGAAGUUUAAUAAAAAGCUUGGUGGUGACCCCAUCAUUUGAUUCAACAAUAGAAUGAAGAGUGGAAGAGAGAGUUCUGAACUUGGAAUGCAGGAGUGAGUAGGCAGCUGAGGGCAAAUUGGGUAUAUCAUCCCACUGGCAGUUAGGGUUCUUGAUCACAUGCUUCCAAAUGAAAGGGAUGAAGUGGAGGCUGAUACCCACUUUCUCAAACUCUCUCCUGAGAUCCGGGGCGUCGAAAAUUGAUCCAGAGUUCAUUUUUGUGGCCAUACAGAUACAGUGAAAUAAUGGCGGUGAAGGAUGUUUUGGUGCUGGAUUGUGCUAAGAAAUCAGGACACAGCUUCUGGGUAAACGGCGGAGGCGGUCAGCGUUUUCUUAUUGGAAAUCAACU
rnacentral:misc_RNA from 1 species